AUUGAACGCUGGCGGCAGGCCUAACACAUGCAAGUCGAACGAGUGGCGGACGGGUGAGUAAUGCCUGGGAAACUGCCCGAUGGAGGGGGAUAACUACUGGAAACGGUAGCUAAUACCGCAUACCAUCGGAUGUGCCCAGAUGGGAUUAGCUAGUAGGUGGGGGAAUGGCUCACCUAGGCGACGAUCCCUAGCUGGUCUGAGAGGAUGACCGGCCACACUGGAACUGAGACACGGCCCGGACUCCUACGGGAGGCAGCAGGGGGGAAUAUUGCACAAGGGGGGCAAGCCGGAGGCAGCCAGGCCGCGUGUAGGAAGAAGGCCUUCGGGUUGGAAAGUACGUUCAGCGAGGAGGCGUUACUCGCAGAAGAAGCACCGGCUAACUCCGUGCCAGCAGCCGCGGUAAUUC
rnacentral:rRNA from 1 species